CCUACGGGGGGCAGCAGUGAGGAAUAUUGGUCAAUGGCCGGAAGGCUGAACCAGCCAUGCCGCGUGAAGGUCAGUGCCCUAUGGGCGUUAAACUUCUUUUGUGCGGGAGCAAUAAUGGUCACGUGUGGCCAGACGAGAGUACCGUACGAAUAAGCAUCGGCUAACUCCGUGCCAGCAGCCGCGGUAAUACGGGGGAUGCAAGCGUUAUCCGGAUUUAUUGGGUUUAAAGGGUGCGUAGGCUGUGAGGUAAGUCAGCGGUGAAAUGCCCCCGCUCAACGGGGUGAAGUGCCAUUGAUACUGCCUGGCUGGAAUGCGGAUGACGUGGGAGGAAUGUGUGGUGUAGCGGUGAAAUGCAUAGAUAUCACACAGAACACCGAUUGCGAAGGCAUCUCACGAAUCCGCGAUUGACGCUGAUGCACGAAAGCGUGGGUAUCAAACAGGAUUAGAUACCCGAGUAGUC
rnacentral:rRNA from 1 species